rnacentral:rRNA from 1 species
UACAGAGGUCCCGAGCGUUGUUCGGAUUCACUGGGCGUAAAGGGUGCGUAGGUGGUGAGGUAAGUCGGAUGUGAAAUCUCCGGGCUCAACCCGGAAACUGCAUUGGAAACUACCUUGCUUGAGGGUUUGAGGGGGGACUGGAAUUCUCGGUGUAGCAGUGAAAUGCGUAGAUAUCGUGAGGAACACCAGAGGCGAAGGCGGCUACCUGGACAAUUGCUGACGCUCAGGCACGAAAGCGUGGGGAGCAAAAGGG